AACGAACGCUGGCGGCAUGCCUAACACAUGCAAGUCGAACGAGACCUUCGGGUCUAGUGGCGCACGGGUGCGUAACGCGUGGGAACCUGCACUUAGGUUCGGAAUAACUCCCCGAAAGGGGUGCUAAUACCGGAUAAUGUCUUCGGACCAAAGAUUUAUCGCCCUUGGAUGGGCCCGCGUUGGAUUAGCUAGUUGGUAGGGUAAAAGCCUACCAAGGCGACGAUCCAUAGCUGGUCUGAGAGAAUGAUCAGCCACACUGGGACUGAGACACGGCCCAGACUCCUACGGGAGGCAGCAGUGGGGAAUAUUGGACAAUGGGGGAAAGCCUGAUCCAGCAAUGCCGCGUGAGUGAUGAAGGCCUUAGGGUUGUAAAGCUCUUUUACCCGGGAUGAUAAUGACAGUACCGGGAGAAUAAGCUCCGGCUAACUCCGUG
rnacentral:rRNA from 1 species